rnacentral:rRNA from 1 species
CCUACGGGUGGCAGCAGUGGGGAAUAUUGCGCAAUGGGCGAAAGCCUGACGCAGCGACGCCGCGUGAGGGAUGAAGGUCUUCGGAUCGUAAACCUCUGUCAGCAGGGAAGAACGGUCACUGUGCUAAUCAGCAGUGAAUUGACGGUACCUGCAAAGGAAGCACCGGCUAACUCCGUGCCAGCAGCCGCGGUAAUACGGAGGGUGCGAGCGUUAAUCGGAAUUACUGGGCGUAAAGCGCUCGUAGGCGGUAUGGCAAGUCAAGGGUGAAAUCCCCGCGCUCAACGUGGGAACUGCCUUUGAAACUGGCAAACUGGAGUGUGUGAGAGGAGAGUGGAAUUCCAGGUGUAGGAGUGAAAUGCGUAGAUAUCUGGAGGAACAUCAGUGGCGAAGGCGACUAUCUGGCACAUAACUGACGCUGAGGAGCGAAAGCGUGGGUAGCAAACAGGAUUAGAUACCCUUGUAGUC